CCCCUGGAGGCGUGGGUUCAAAUCCCACUUCUGACAGAAGGUUAAGACAAGUGUUUUAAUAUCUGUAAAGUCCAAAACAAGAGGUUGCGAGGGAAACCGUGAAAAAGGCAUUCAUGUAACAAUAAAUGUCCAGUUACGUGAAUGUGUAUGUGCCACAAGGGAGGACGCUGCAGGUAUCAGACCUGAUAUUUCUCGCUCUUUUGUAAAAAAGGAUGUGCAAUUCAAUGACAUAUGAAAUAUAGGUUAUCCUGCUUUUUGUCAUAUUUUCAAUAUUUGAGGUAUUUUACUGUCAGGAUGGCCGAGUGGUCUAAGGCGCUGCGUUAAGGUUGCAGUCUCCCCUGGAGGCGUGGGGUCAUAUCACACUUCUGGCAAAAGAGUUAAGACAAGUGUUUUAAUUUCUGUAAAGUCCAAAACAAGAGGUUGCGAGAGAAACCGUGAAAAAGGCAUUCAUGUAACAAUAAAUGUCCACUUACGUGAAUGUGUAUGUGCCACAAGGGAGGACGCUGCAGGUAUCAGAGCUGAUAUUUCUCGCUCUUUUGUAAAAAAGGAUGUGCAAUUCAAUGAUAUAUGAAAUAUAG
ensembl:lncRNA